rnacentral:rRNA from 1 species
AGUGAACGCUGGCGGUAGGCCUAACACAUGCAAGUCGAACGGCAGCACAGUAAGAGCUUGCUCUUACGGGUGGCGAGUGGCGGACGGGUGAGGAAUACAUCGGAAUCUACUUUUUCGUGGGGGAUAACGUAGGGAAACUUACGCUAAUACCGCAUACGACCUACGGGUGAAAGCAGGGGAUCUUCGGACCUUGCGCGAUUGAAUGAGCCGAUGUCGGAUUAGCUAGUUGGCGGGGUAAAGGCCCACCAAGGCGACGAUCCGUAGCUGGUCUGAGAGGAUGAUCAGCCACACUGGAACUGAGACACGGUCCAGACUCCUACGGGAGGCAGCAGUGGGGAAUAUUGGACAAUGGGCGCAAGCCUGAUCCAGCCAUACCGCGUGGGUGAAGGAGGCCUUCGGGUUGUAAAGCCCUUUUGUUGGGAAAGAAAAGCAGCAGGUUAAUACCCCGCUGUUCUGACGGUACCCAAAGAAUAAGCACCGGCUAACUUCGU